rnacentral:rRNA from 1 species
GGUUAAGUUAGAAAGGGCGCACGGUGGAUGCCUUGACACUAGGAGUCGAUGAAGGACGGGACUAACGCCGAUAUGCUUCGGGGAGCUGUAAGUAAGCUUUGAUCCGAAGAUUUCCGAAUGGGGAAACCCACCAUACGUAAUGGUAUGGUAUCCUUAUCUGAAUACAUAGGGUAAGGAAGACAGACCCAGGGAACUGAAACAUCUAAGUACCUGGAGGAAGAGAAAGCAAAUGCGAUUUCCUGAGUAGCGGCGAGCGAAACGGAACAUAGCCCAAACCAAGAGGCUUGCCUCUUGGGGUUGUAGGACAUUCUAUACGGAGUUACAAAGGAACGAGGUAGACGAAGCGACCUGGAAAGGUCCGUCGUAGAGGGUAACAACCCCGUAGUCGAAACUUCGUUCUCUCUUGAAUGUAUCCUGAGUACGGCGGAACACGUGAAAUUCCGUCGGAAUCUGGGAGGACCAUCUCCCAAGGCUAAAUACUCCCUAGUGAUCGAUAGUGAACCAGUACCGUGAGGGAAAGGUGAAAAGCACCCCGGAAGGGGAGUGAAAGAGAUCCUGAAACCGUGUGCCUACAAAUAGUCAGAGCCCGUUAACGGGUGAUGGCGUGCCUUUUGUAGAAUGAACCGGCGAGUUACGAUCCCGUGCGAGGUUAAGCUGAAGAGGCGGAGCCGCAGCGAAAGCGAGUCUGAAUAGGGCGUUUAGUACGUGGUCGUAGACCCGAAACCAGGUGAUCUACCCAUGUCCAGGGUGAAGUUCAGGUAACACUGAAUGGAGGCCCGAACCCACGCACGUUGAAAAGUGCGGGGAUGAGGUGUGGGUAGCGGAGAAAUUCCAAUCGAACCUGGAGAUAGCUGGUUCUCCCCGAAAUAGCUUUAGGGCUAGCCUUAAGUGUAAGAGUCUUGGAGGUAGAGCACUGAUUGGACUAGGGGUCCUCAUCGGAUUACCGAAUUCAGUCAAACUCCGAAUGCCAAUGACUUAUCCUUAGGAGUCAGACUGCGAGUGAUAAGAUCCGUAGUCAAAAGGGAAACAGCCCAGACCGCCAGCUAAGGUCCCAAAGUGUGUAUUAAGUGGAAAAGGAUGUGGAGUUGCUUAGACAACUAGGAUGUUGGCUUAGAAGCAGCCACCAUUUAAAGAGUGCGUAAUAGCUCACUAGUCGAGUGACUCUGCGCCGAAAAUGUACCGGGGCUAAAUACACCACCGAAGCUGCGGAUUGAUACCAAUGGUAUCAGUGGUAGGGGAGCGUUCUAAGGACAGUGAAGUCAGACCGGAAGGACUGGUGGAGUGCUUAGAAGUGAGAAUGCCGGUAUGAGUAGCGAAAGACGGGUGAGAAUCCCGUCCACCGAAUGCCUAAGGUUUCCUGAGGAAGGCUCGUCCGCUCAGGGUUAGUCAGGACCUAAGCCGAGGCCGACAGGCGUAGGCGAUGGACAACAGGUUGAUAUUCCUGUACCACCUCUUUAUCGUUUGAGCAAUGGAGGGACGCAGAAGGAUAGAAGAAGCGUGCGAUUGGUUGUGCACGUCCAAGCAGUUAGGCUGAUAAGUAGGCAAAUCCGCUUAUCGUGAAGGCUGAGCUGUGAUGGGGAAGCUCCUUAUGGAGCGAAGUCUUUGAUUCCCCGCUGCCAAGAAAAGCUUCUAGCGAGAUAAAAGGUGCCUGUACCGCAAACCGACACAGGUAGGCGAGGAGAGAAUCCUAAGGUGUGCGAGAGAACUCUGGUUAAGGAACUCGGCAAAAUGACCCCGUAACUUCGGGAGAAGGGGUGCUUUCUUAACGGAAAGCCGCAGUGAAUAGGCCCAAGCGACUGUUUAGCAAAAACACAGCUCUCUGCGAAGCCGUAAGGCGAAGUAUAGGGGGUGACACCUGCCCGGUGCUGGAAGGUUAAGGAGAGGGGUUAGCGUAAGCGAAGCUCUGAACUGAAGCCCCAGUAAACGGCGGCCGUAACUAUAACGGUCCUAAGGUAGCGAAAUUCCUUGUCGGGUAAGUUCCGACCCGCACGAAAGGUGUAACGAUUUGGGCACUGUCUCAACCAGAGACUCGGUGAAAUUAUAGUACCUGUGAAGAUGCAGGUUACCCGCGACAGGACGGAAAGACCCCGUGGAGCUUUACUGUAGCCUGAUAUUGAAUUUUGGUACAGUUUGUACAGGAUAGGCGGGAGCCUUUGAAACCGGAGCGCUAGCUUCGGUGGAGGCGCUGGUGGGAUACCGCCCUGACUGUAUUGAAAUUCUAACCUACGGGUCUUAUCGACCCGGGAGACAGUGUCAGGUGGGCAGUUUGACUGGGGCGGUCGCCUCCUAAAG